UUCCACCCGACAUUGCAUUAGACACUGGUGAGGGGAUGUCGUGAAGGAACUCUUCAGGGGUCGACCGGUCAUAUACUUGCCCGAAACCAGCUCGAACUUGACGUCUUCGUCAUCGCAUGCUGCAUCAGAAGUCAAGUUUUGCGUUACGCAAGUGCAUUGGUCUUGGUCGACAAUACGCACAGAAACAGAGCACGAACAGGAAUCCGCAACACUCGCAAGCAUGUCCCACGAAAACGACGACGAACGCGAAGAUGACGACGUCAGCGACAGUGGAUGCUCGGCUGAGCAAGGUGGCACCUAUGGUCGCACAUCUUCUGCACCAGGAGGCAGACAACAGGAUACAUGGCAACCUUCCUAUUAUUCAUGCUUCAUGAGACCGUCACCGUCCAUGCAUGCUCCAAACGCUCGGUCCCGUCGUCAAAUUUUCUCCUACUUUCCCUAUCUCGGUCGUCCCAGGAUAUUGCGACUGGUCAGGGUGGCCAGUUGCAGCGGACCGAACUGCUACACAAUUCCAGUUGUGGGAGGAGGCCUUCCUAGAGCCGUUACUACUGCAAAGUCUAUUGGGUAGACCAGCAGAACUACACGCUGGAAUUCCGUUUUUCAAUUUUGGUUGUGGUGGAGGGAUUCCAAUAAAAGUAACCGUACAAAAAUA